ensembl:rRNA 5S_rRNA 5S ribosomal RNA
CUCUACACCCAUGCCACCCUGAGCAUGCCAGAUCUCAUCUGAUCUCGUCUGAUCUCGGAAGCUAAGCAGGGUUGGGCCUGGUUAGUACUUGGGUGGGAGACCACCUAGGAAGACCAGGUGCUGUAGGCU